ensembl:lncRNA
UUCUGUUUAGGUCCAUAUUGGAUGUAAGUAAGUACUUGGGAAAUCAAUUCAUUCUCUUCAAGGGCACACUUGAGAGGGUUUUUCUAGUAUCAUAUAAUCAUAUUACUUGUUUCCAAAAUGCCAACUGUAAGGUCUCCAUAAACUAACAUGCUACAGAGAGAGGGUAUUGUGUAUUUUAUUUUGAGCAAUGACCAUGUAACAAACAUGUAGUUAAUUUUGUGUUUUGAUGACAUUUGCUUAGGGUGGGUUACUGUCACUUUGGUCAAAUGCUGUUUUUUUAUAAAAAAAAUUGUGUACAGUCUCCUAACAGAUUUGCCAACAUGACAUGCAUGAAUAAUGUCACUCAAAAAAUGUACUGUUGGGGGCGGGGGGGGGGGGAGAUGCAUAAUAACUUCAAUCACUAAACAUUCACUUUGAACCCUUUCAGAGCUCUGCAUGAUAUGAUCUGGGUCAAUAACUGAAUCAGCCAUAAUGCAAUGCAUCAUUUUGGUGUCUAAUUGAUCAAUGGGAAGACUACACAAUUUUUUCCUUUCCAUCAUUUUGGUGUCUAAUUGAACAAUGGGAAGAGUACACGAUUUUGUCCUUACCAUAAUUCUUACAUUGAAAACUAACUUAUGAUAUAUAUAUAUGUAUGUAUGUAUGUAUGUAUGUAUUCACCCAGCCACGCUCCUUUUUUUUGUAUUUGUGCCACCUCAUAAAGUUUCUCAUCGCUAUUUUAGUGACUCAUCAAAAUCAUUCUAUCUUUAAAUUGCUUUAGCAAAUUAAUUCUCUGUUGCAAUAAUUUUUUUUGGCCUGACAGUUUUGAAAUUGGAAGAUAAUUUGUAGCAGUAUUUACCAGCUGUGAAUGACUAUGUGCGAGUACAUGGAACAAUAGUAAGUGAGUGGUUGUUCUGAAGGAACUUAUGUGUGUGUAGAUCAUCUCCCCCCUCCCCUUUGUACCAUAGAGUUCUCAAAGGAAAUGUAUUGCAAUGUGAAUGUGAUUAAAAAUGAACAAAUCCACUGUACUCUU